AAUUGAAUACACACAAAUUAACCAAACUAAUAUGGCUUAUAAAAAAACUUUGCUUAUUUGGGUUGUCUUCAUUCUUUGUGUGCUUUCAUUGUGUGCCAAGGCAACAACUAUGAACCUAGCUGGUGCUUCUGACCUUCACGCAAGUUCGUAUGGAAUGGUUAAGAGUAGAAGGCUACGUGAACGGCCAGAAUGUCCAAAUGAUAAGCCUCGUUGCGGCCAUUAUUGAACCAUUCUCUGAAUAAAUACAAAUAACUAAGAUUUUUAUUGGAUGCUAUUAUUAUGUAUACUUUCAUAUAGAUUGGUAUUUUUCUUAUAAAUUGUAUUUAAAUCGGUUUGUAUUGUAUCAUCUUCUCAAAUAAAAGUUUAUAUUGUAUCAUUAUUAUUAACCAGAGUUUUUAUAUAAGAUGCGAGUAUAAGGUGUAUGCAAA